UUGACAGCAACCAUAAAAGUAGCAACACAGAAAGAAUGAUUGAAUACAGUAGCAAACAACCCAGAUUGAAAAAAACUACUUAUUCCAAACAUGUAUAACGAAUGUUGUCCUGGCAUGAACUACAAGUAACCCCCUCCCCCCUUCCAAUAACAGGUCGUACAUUUGUUAAUCCCAUAGGUAGGAUCCAAGGAGAGCGUGUGCAUGAUUAGUGUUGGAAGUUCUUGUUGGGAAACACAAAAGAAAGGAGUGUAAAAUAAGAGGAAUAUUUUUGUCCCACAUUGAAAGAACUCUUCAUAUUCUCCUUGUUUCUUGUUUGAGAAAGUGUGAGAGUAGUAUGGGUGGACACAUAACACGUGCGUCGGCUGGACCGGGCUCGGGCCACGACCCUUGGUACUUGGGAAUGCAGUUCGCAUGCGUGGAGGUGGGUUUUGUGGGCUUUACCUAUUCUUUUUGGUACUGGGCAUAAGUCCUUGUUACGGGAAUAUGUAUUGAUUAAGUAACCGUUGGAUUAUAUAGAGAAAGGCUCCGUAAGAAAACUUCUUACGGUAAGAACACUCUCUACACCGUUCGAUCAAAUCUAAUCUAACCGCCCAAAUUUGAUAUGAGAGUAAUGGCAUUUUCGUAAUUUCAGCUGCACACUACCCCUUCUUCCUCAUCAGCAUUCUCUCUCUCUAAACUCUUCCUGCUCCCCCUAAACACUCCUCACAACUUUCUCUCUCUUAUCUCUUCAAUUGCGGGUGAAUUUUACCCCACAUUCUCGCAAGUUUGAGCAAAUUCGUCAAAUUCUUCAUCAAAUUUAUGAUCUAUUACACAAUAUCACCCUUCAUCUUCAUCAACUUUCCUCAAAUUUCUUCAAUUUCAUCGGAUUGUAAUUCAAAUUUGACGAACAAUUUCGUCAAAAUUAGCGAUUUUCGUACGUUUAGGUUAAUUCAGAGGUGUUGGUGGAGGCGCAGUUGCCGUGUCAGCUGCUACUGGUGGUGGUGCAGGUGUUGCUGCCGCCGGGGCUCCAAAGUAGGAAAAUAAGGUUGAAGAGAAAGAAGAAUCGGACGACGAAGUUACUCGUGUUUAAUGAUCGGGAUGCUCAAUGCAUAUUAUCUGUUCCUCUCAGCAUCAGGUCGACGAUUAUCGACGUGACAUACAUGUUUUCGGUUUUGUUAUUCUAAGACAAUACAUACGAGUCCGUAACUAGCAGACACCAGUAUUGCUUCUCAACAUCAGGUCAUCCCUGGAUAAUGGCAGACGACUUGGCUCCUGAUAAGCUUCUUGAUCACUCAGUCAUAUCACGGUUGACACAGUUCUGUUUAUCUACGGGUUAUUUCUGAUAGGCUUUCAGAUGAAGAAAUUGCAGAGGUCGAGGAGAUUUUUAAGAUAAUAGACAGAUAACAGUAGGUAGAUUGCUCAAAUGUUAGAGCAAUGUGCCAUUGCACAUGGAUGUCCUACGUUCCAAUAUUCUUUCUAUUUUGUUUAUAGCCAUGAAUUUUGGUCCAUCAUGUGAAGAAAUAUGUUGGACACAGAUUUUAUUAUGUCAGUCGGAGCAACUCUAUUAUGGUA